rnacentral:rRNA from 1 species
UACGGAGGGUGCGAGCGUUGAUCGGAAUUACUGGGCGUAAAGGGCGCGUAGGCGGCGGGUUAAGUCUGCCGUGAAAUCCCCGGGCUCAACCUGGGAAUGGCGGUGGAAACGGGCUGACUGGAGUAUGGGAGAGGGUGAUGGAAUUCCAGGUGUAGCGGUGAAAUGCGUAGAGAUCUGGAGGAACACCAGUGGCGAAGGCGGUCACCUGGCCCAAUACUGACGCUGAGGCGCGAAAGCGUGGGGAGCAAACAGG